rnacentral:sRNA from 1 species
AAAAACUUAUCUUCUUCGUUAGAAUAUCCAGUAGAACGAGGCAUUAUAGUUAAGAA